UCAAUACCACAGUUAGCAGUUCUACGGUUUCAUAUAUUUGAGUUCUUCAGAACUGUUGGGUGAAUACCAUCUGAACCUGGUGACUUAUUACUGUUUAAUUUACUAAUUUGUUCCAAAACCUCUUCUAUUGACAGCUCAGUCUGGGACAAUUCCUCAGAUUUGUCACCUCAGUAGAAUGGCUUGGGUGUGGGGAUCUCUGCUGUGAAGACCAAUGCACAGAAUUAAUUUAGUUUCUUUGCAAUGGCCUUGUCUCUGCUACAGCCCCCACCCCUCUGGCAGCAUGGAGUCCUACCCCAUCUACUGAGCCUCCCACUGAGCUCCUCCAAACAACACAGACACCCCCCAAAUACACAGCACGAUGUCAGGGCACAGAUCUCCACCAGUCACAGAUACAGUCCUCAGCUGCAGUCAGUCUCUCUUCUGAGCACCACCCUCCUAGCAGCACAGACCCCCAACACCUACUUGCCCGCACCUUAGUGUAACUAGGACAGGCCCAUCUCACCCCCUUAAAACAGAUAUCUGAUUCCUGCCCCAGCAAGGAUGCAUAGCAACACGUAUCUCUACACUUCUCUCUGCCAUUCAGAACUCAGGGUGCAGCAAGAUUCCCAAUUACGCUGUUCCCUGCACACCAGUUCUGCCUCUUUGAUUUACCACAUUGACCUAUAAUUUUUAACUUCCAGGUUCAGUUACUGUAACACACACUCCCUAAGUGUGAAACAAUACAUCCAUCAAUGUCGCAAUUGGUUCAGAAUAUAACACAGGCUACUGAGAGCCCAACAUCCUUCUGUCUGCACUAGCUUCUUGUUCAAUAUCAUGAUCAGAUUCAAGCUCUCAUAUUCAAAGCCCUUCAUUGGAGACGUCAGUUUAUCUGAAGGACCCUCUCACUCUGGGUGAUCAUGACCUUCCACAACAGCUGUGUUCCACUGGGACAA